rnacentral:rRNA from 1 species
GCCCAAGAGAUCGGGAUAACACCUGGAAACAGAUGCUAAUACCGGAUAACAAUAGAUGAUGCCUAUCAACUGUUUAAAAGAUGGUUCUGCUAUCACUCUUGGAUGGACCUGCGGUGCAUUAGCUAGUUGGUAGGGUAACGGCCUACCAAGGCGAUGAUGCAUAGCCGAGUUGAGAGACUGAUCGGCCACAUUGGGACUGAGACACGGCCCAAACUCCUACGGGAGGCAGCAGC